UGUGGCUGCAGACUGCACAGGGCAUGGAAGGUGGAGCCGUCAAGGUUUAGAGGGCGGAACCGAGAAACUUUGGACCAAUCAGGAGACAAGGGUGUGGUUGAGAGGACACAGCCUAAUACUUUGGGAGGUGCGCCGACUGGUGUUGACAAGGCAACAACAAGGCUGUCCGGUUUUUCAGGAAGUAGUCUGACAAUUCUGCUGCACGGAUCCACUGAAGCCUUGUGGUGUCGUGUGAGGCCUGUCCCACCCCUGCUUUAAUGAAAACAUACGGAUUACAGGACCAUGCAGCCGCCGCCACGGCAUGGCCACCGGGAAUUCUGCAAAGGGAUCAGGAUCAAGAGAGCACAGGUGUUGCUACCUGCGACAGUGUGACUAGG